GUGUCAGCAGCCGCGGUAAAACCAGCACCUCAAGUGGUCAGGAUGAUUAUUGGGCCUAAAGCAUCCGUAGCCGGCUCUGUUAGUUUUCGGUUAAAUCCAUAUGCUCAACAUAUGGGCCGCCGGGAAUACUACAAAGCUAGGGAGUGGGAGAGGUAGACGGUACUCCGUAGGAAGGGGUAAAAUCCUUUGAUCUAUGGAUGACCACCAGUGGCGAAGGCGGUCUACCAGAACACGUCCGACGGUGAGGGAUGAAAGCUGGGGGAGCAAACCGGAUUAGAUACCCGGGUAGUCCCAGCUGUAAACUAUGCAAACUCAGUGAUGCAUUGGCUUGUGGCCAGUGCAGUGCCGCAGGGAAGCCGUUAAGUUUGCCGCCUGGGAAGUACGUACGCAAGUAUGAAACUUAAAGGAAUUGGCGGGGGAGCACCACAAGGGGUGAAGCCUGCGGUUCAAUUGGAGUCAACGCCAGAAAUCUUACCCGGAGAGACAGCAGGAUGAAGGUCAAGCUGAAGACUUUACCAGACAAGCUGAGAAGUGGUGCAUGGCCGUCGCCAGCUCGUGCCGUGAGGUGUCCUGUUAAGUCAGGUAACGAGCGAGAUCCUUGCCUCUAGUUGCCACCAUUACUCUCAGGAGUAGUGGGGCGAAUUAGCGGGACUGCCGUAGUUAAUACGGAGGAAGGAGAGGGCCACGGCAGGUCAGUAUGCCCUGAAACUUUGGGGCCACACGCGGGCUGCAAUGGUAGUGACAAUGUGUUCCGAAUCCGAAAGGAGGAGGUAAUCCAAAAACGCUACCACAGUUAUGACUGAGGGCUGCAACUCGCCCUCACGAAUAUGGAAUCCCUAGUAACUGCGUGUCAUUAUCGCGCGGUGAAUACGUCCCUGCUCCUUGCACACACCGCCCGUC
rnacentral:rRNA from 1 species